AAUACGCCACUGUAUUAUGCUUAAAUGAGGGAAGCCAAACAAGUGGAUCCGUGAUGGGUACCUGAGCCAUAUUUUUUAUCGAAUUAGUUCGUAUGGAAUAUUAAUUUUAAAAGUGUUGUGUGGGAGUUUGUUUUGUAAAUAAGCAUGGUAGUCUAUACAACUUUUUACUUGCCCACCUUAUUAAAACGCGAAUCGGUGCCGCUGUUUAUGAUAUAGCAAAUUUACGUUUAGCAGAAUCGAUUUUAUGUUGUUAGUUUUAAUAUUGGAGUAAACUGUUCUAUUAUCAAACUUAAACGAAAUUAUCUGUGUCUAUUACCGAUAUAGGUAACUAUAAACAUGUUUAAGUUGUAAUAUUUCUCACAAAGGUUCUUGUAAAAUUUCCUAUCAUAAAAAUUUAAAUACACACA